AUUGAACGCUGGCGGCAGGCUUAACACAUGCAAGUCGAGCGGGGGGAGGUAGCUUGCUACCGGACCUAGCGGCGGACGGGUGAGUAAUGCUUAGGAAUCUGCCUAUUAGUGGGGGACAACAUCUCGAAAGGGAUGCUAAUACCGCAUACGUCCUACGGGAGAAAGCAGGGGAUCUUCGGCCCUUGCGCUAAUAGAUGAGCCUAAGUCGGAUUAGCUAGUUGGUGGGGUAAAGGCCUACCAAGGCGACGAUCUGUAGCGGGUCUGAGAGGAGGAUCCGCAACACUGGGACUGAGACACGGCCCAGACUCCUGCGGGAGGCAGCAGUGGGGAAUAUUGGACAAUGGGUGAAACCCUGAUCCAGCCAUGCCGCGUGUGUGAAGAAGGCCUUAUGGUUGUAAAGCACUUUAAGCGAGGAGGAGGCUACUUUAGUUAAUACCUAGAGAUAGUGGACGUUACUCGCAGAAUAAGCACCGGCUAACUCUGUGCCAGCCGCCGCGGUAA
rnacentral:rRNA from 1 species